AAUAUUUCAGGCUGAAUAAAAUUCUCCACAAACUGGAAGAAAAAAAGUGCAUAAAGAAAUAGUUAAAUGUAAACUGAACUGGAAGGACAAGGCUAAGCUGCUGUUGCCCAACAAUACUGCUGGUACUUUGUAACAUAGUAUAUGUAUUUACCUGGCUAACAGAGUCCUGCAAAACUUUUCUUUUGAAGGACAGUUUACUGAGAGAGACAGAUAAACAGCAAGCAUUUGCUCUUUAAGGGUUGUUCCAACUGUGAACUAUGUCAAAUUCUGAAAUAAGCUGGAUAGUGGCCCUUGUUAUCCUGUUUCCGUAGCACUUAGAGACCUCUGAGACAAGAGAUUUUCUCCCCCUGAAGAUAUUUGUUAUUGCUCUGUGUCUGAAGCCCAAACACCUCCUCUGCAGCUGCACUGUAACAAAAACAAACCAUACAUUCCAGUGGAUCAGUGAUUGCUGCAAGAUGUACAGCAAUGUGAAUCGUAUGAGAAAACUGCUUUCUGGAUGUUAUUUGAACUAGCAGCUGUCCAGAAUCCUCAGCUCACCUCUUACCAAGAAAGAGCAUGUCAGAAUACAAUAAUCAUUUUCAGUUGAAUUGCUUUGUUAAAAUGAAAUAAUUUGAAAUGCUGCCGAAGUCUGCUGUGGAGAAAUUCAAACUGCAAGCCUCAGAUAAUGGGAAACUGCAGUAAAGAUUAGGAGUAGGGUGAGCCCAUACUCCCCACUUUGCUUCUGGUGAUCCUUCUAACAAACAGUGCCCCAGUUUUGUCUGCCACUGGCCUUGUUCUGUUAUCAUGAAUAACUUAACUUAAUUCAAUAAAACGUUGAUGUCCAAAACA
rnacentral:lncRNA from 1 species